rnacentral:pre_miRNA from 1 species
CAACGGAAUCCCAAAAGCAGCUGUCUUCCUCUGAGCAUUCCAGCUGCGGUUGGAUUUCGUUACC